GACGAACCGUGCGAACGUUAUUCGGAAUCACUGGGCUUAAAGCGCGUGUGAGGACGCCCGGCGCGUCGGACGCCUGAAAUCCCCCGGCUCAACCGGGGAAGUGGCUCCGAGUACGGCCGGGCUGGAGGGGGGUAGGGGGCGCUGGAACGUCACGGUGGAGCGGUGAAAUGCGUUGAGAUCGUGAGGACGCCCGCGGCGAAAGCGAGCGCCUGGACCCUUCUGACGACGUGAGACGCGAAGCCAGGGG
rnacentral:rRNA from 1 species